UCUCACCUUUAUGUUAAUACUGGCUGUGUCUCAAUUCAGGGUCUGCAUCCUACCUCGGCCGGAUUCGUCGGCCGGUUACGUCACAGCGCCGCGACUCGGCCUGUCCCAAUUCGAAGACUCCUUCAAAUGCGGUCGACGAAUGCGGCCUUCUUUUCGCCUGAAUGAAGGAUGGGUCGGGUGUAUCCUUCAAUAGGUAGCAUUUCCCAAGAUGCCUUGCGGGCCGGCCGGCAGAAAAACUUAAAAACAAUGGCGGACAGUGAAGCGGGAGCUGUCGGAGACGAUUGCGCUUAUAAAUGACCAAAAGAGAAAACCAGGGAAUUUAUUAAGCUUAGGGCGGAGAUGGACCACAUGAUCACCGGAGCAAAGUAUUCGGCGGCUGUGGCAUGGAGACUAUUCUGGAGAAAAUGGGCAUCCAGGGGAAGGUGCCAGCGAUGAGCUUCUGGAGCUGAUCUGGGAGGACAUGAGGCUGCAGAGCAGCAGAGAGCACAGGAGAGAAGGAAGAACUUUGACAGCUUUUUACUUUGCUAGAAAAAAUGGUUAAUGAAGAUUAAACAUGUACAUGUAAAAGAAAUAUCUAAAUAAAAUCAGUUCUGCAUUAAACUCUUGAAUUUUAUUUUUGUUUACAAAUGAGAAUUGUUUACUAGAGGGUAUCCGCUGGGUCUUGAAAAGUCUUAAAAGGUGAUAAAUCGGUUUUGGUCAAAGUAAGACCCUUAGAAAGUAUUAAAAACUAUUAUCACAUCUUUGCUCAGGCUCAGCUAGUCUAAAGUAUUUUCUCUGAAUUAGCUCUCCAACAGUCAAGGAAAUGAUUAACCCCCAGAGACCCACGGUUGUAGUAUUACAACAUCAGAUUUAAGUCUACAAAAAUAAACCUUCCCCAUUUUUUUCUUUUUAAAACCACAUUUACAUUGCUAAUAGGUCCUAUUCAGUUCUGCAACACUAUUGGCUGUUAAAAUGUGUAAAUAGGCCCGUUUAUCUGGCCUCCUAGAACAACAUGUGAAAGGUUAAAAAAUAUUUUGCAGUUGUUUUCUAAAUUUGGGUUUCUGGGGGUUAAAAAGCUAAAUAAAACGUCGAGCUCCAUCGUUUAAGGUUCCUUCUGCCCAGCGGUUCCACGGUUGCUAGGCGACGGAACGUUCGCCGAGGGAGUUCAUGAAGGCUAGGCCUGUCCAAAUUCACAGCCGUUAACAUCCGGUCUACCCGGCCGACGGAGGACGCAGCCCACGUCGGCCGGGUGGGCUGGGUCCUUCGAAGGAUGCAGACCCUGAAUUGAGACACAGCCAUUGUUUUAUUUGAUGCACUCCACUUUGAACUGCACCAAUCCAGCAACUGCUGCAUUGUAAUAACUAGUAUUAAAGGUGAGUACACCAAUAUUUGCACAAUAAUAAUUUCUGUUUUAAACUCUCAGUGACACACUUUGCAGGGUGGAUUUGGCAUUUAAUUUUUCUUGGCGUCUGGAAAAACAUCUUCUUUUGCCCCCUUUAUUUGACUUUCUGCCCCCUUUAUUUUGGUCCAAGAUCAUUACUGGGCUGGCCCUGUUAAAAACCUUCUACAUCCCUGCUUAGUAGACUUAAUGAAGUAUGUUUAAGCCAGUAUAAAAAUGACUGAAACACAAAUUUACAUAUUUGGCAUUAUUGACCAAUAUCUUUGAUUUGAUUUAUUUGUUAAGAACAUCAAGAUGCAUUACAGUGAACAUUAUAAUAAGCUGGGCGGACACUGUGCGACUUUUUCACUCGUAACACAGCUUCAGCUCAAACUGUACGACUUCAGCGCAGGGCAGAUCUCACGAGUCAUGUGCUCAUUGUACGUCUGGUAGCAACACGUCGGACCUAAAAUAUGCUAAAAAUAGCAGUUUUUACACAACACGUCAGACUUUUUUGUCUUGUUUUGCCUGUUGUCCUUUGGGAGUGCUGCAGGAGGACACACAGGGAUUUAUGGGGGUUGGAUGAGGAAACGAAAUAAAGAAAGUAAAUCUGUGUUUUGUGAUCAGUUUAAUUUGACAUGAACACGACAAACACGCUUUCUUGACAAUCUUUGUGAGUAAAAAAACGUGUAGAAAUAAAAACGAACAGCGUGUGUUAUUAGGGAAAUAGCGGGUGAGCGGAGUUGAUGCAUGAUUGCGAAUACGCCGUGAGCGGUUCUGGUACUUUUUGGGUCGCAGCUGCUCGCUGCGCCGCUUCAACCCUCAUGAGGAACGAGAUAAAUGUGAAACACUCCAGAAGUCCGUGCGAGCUCAUGAUUGCUGAUCGGUAGCUGGUCACGUGGUGUUAAUCGCCUCUCGUAACCCCCUGUACACUACACGACGCUCAGCGCAAAACUCGCCCCGAUCUUGUGGAUUCUCGCACGAGUGGAAAAUCUGCUCAAAAAAGUGAAAAAGUCGCACAGUGUCCGCCCGGCUUUACUGUCUGUGUGUGUGCGUUGAUGCCUGGACCGAGCUGACUGAGCUCCCGGCUGCAGUUUUGCUUGUAGGGAGGGGCGGGCGCUCUGUCUGACUGGCCAAUCACAGAGCUUGAAGACAGUCAGUUACCCAAUGAGAAUUUCAUUCAGCAUGAUUACAGAUAUUUCCGAGUUUUACACUCGUUUCAUGCUCGUAUUCGUCAAAAAUGCUUUAUCGUACGCUCAUAGCUGUAACCACCCUGCCGUGCCUCCUCCUCCUUGCUACCUGCCGGCUGUGAUCACAAGCAACAACACAGUAGUUCCUGCUGCUUCUUCGGGAAACGGCGCAAAAAAAAAUAAACCAUCAAUAAAACUUGGGAUGUUGUAGGCGUGGCGGUGGGAUUUCAGCCGUGGCGGGCCGCCACGGCUACGCCUAUGUAAGGGAAACCCUGAGCACACUUGAAAAUGAACUCUGGACCUUUUAUCUGCUCAGUGUAAUUGGGAUAAUGAGGGAAUAACACACACCUGGCCAUGGAACAGCUGAGAAGCUUACUUUUGGUCCCUUAACAAGUUGGAGGCACAUAUGCAAACUGUUGUAAUUCCUACACCGUUCACCUGAUUUGGAUGUAAAUACCCUCAAAUAAAAGCUGACAGUCUGCAGUUAAAGCACAUCUUGUUUGUUUCAUUUGAUAUCCAUUGUGGUGGUGUAUAGAGCCAAAAAUGUUAGCAUUGUGUCGCUGUCCCAAUAUUUAUGAACCUGACUGUAAGUUGCACUUUUUUGCAUAAUCUGGCUGGUCCUGCGACUUAUAUACCAAAGUGACUUAUAUACCAAAUUAUGUAUACCGCGCUGCUGCAGACUGGCUCCGGACCAGGAAUAAGCUCCUCUGCCCCACCAUCACCUGCUGGAGACUGUGGUGAGCUGCUGCAGGCUGGACAGCUCCGACCCAGGAUUGAGCUCCCCUGUCCCGCUGGGAGGGUUUCAAACACCACCAUCACUUGCUGCAGCCUGUGGUGGGGUGCUGCGGGCUGGCUCCGGCCCAGGAAUGAUCUCUCCCCACCCGCUGGAAGGGUUUGAAACACAGCCAUCCUCUGCUGGAGACCGUGGUGCGCUGCUGCGCCCUGGUUGUUUAUUCUGUUAUUGUUACCGGUACUUGUCUUGCAAUGUGAUAGACUUCUUCUCAGAUUUUGUAAGAAAAAUAAUAAAAUUUCCCCCCAAAAUGCGACAUAUAGUCCAUUGCGACUUGUAUAUGUUUUUUUCUUCUUCAUUAUAUAUUUUAUGGUUGGUGUGACAUACUCUGGAGCGACUUAUACUGCGGAAAAUACGGUAAUUCAAAUUACAUUGAAUUUUCAUAACGUAUUUAAAUAAAUAUUACAUUGAGAUUCUUUUUAAAAAAAUGCAACAAAAAUUACAGUAAAUGAUUAAAGAUUAAGUUAUUUAAAAAAAUACUAGCUAAAUGUGUAACACUAAAAUCUAAAUUAUCUGAACUAAAGUAAAAACACAAAUUUCUUCCUGCUUUCCUAAUUCUUUUAUUUAUUUUUCAUGUUUUUUUUUUAUUUUUUAUUUUUUAUUUUUUGCUCAUAAAAGUUGUUUUACUUAGUGUGAUUACCUGCAGGCAAAAUGAAGCUGUUCUGCAUUUUACAAUUUUACAAUACUUUUACAAUAAGAUUGGAUGUUUAUCCAAUUUCUUUUUAUUUUGUGGAAUUGUGAUCAGAUCAGCUGAUCCGCAGCGCUCUGAACCACUGUGGUGCGUGGGGUUGGGUACCUUUGACAUUUGAAUCGAUAUGGUACCAAUUCCCAGUACCUACGAAUCGAUACCGGUACUUAUAGGUAGCAGUUUUUGAUACUUUUGAGUGUUAAGAAAUUUUCAGCCAUUUGUUCCGUUUAUUAAAAAGAUCUAGUCUGAAACAAGGCCCUCUCUUCAAACUUCCAUUCAGCUAAUGGUGCGUUCAGCUAAUGGUGCGUUCACUUUCUCUUUGGAAAUUCUAACCUUCAAGUAGGAAAAAUAAACCAUUUGAAAAUGAACAGCAAAAGGAAUUUACAUUUAGUUCACAACAAAGAUGUUUGCUUCAGUGUAACUUGCAGUGCUGUAGUGCGGGUGCUGUAGUGCAUUGCGUGUUGGGAUAGAUAGGUGUAUUAACAACAGACGCAUUAGUCGCUUUGGGCUGUUCUGAGCUCAUAAACCUACAGAAAAUGGUACAAUCAUGCUGUGUGAAGGGCUGCCACGAAAUAAAUAUAUUAUUUAGUCUGGCUUGCCAGGCUACUACUUUGUGGUAAAAUGUAAUAAAGUAUUAAAUAUUUGGGGUACUGAAAUAAUGCACAGACAAUUUUGUUGUAUUUCAUUCUGGUUACUAAUGUUGAUGUUUUCCCUGAUUCCAUACAUGUACUGAAUGCGAUUCAUAGCACAGCAUCUUAAAGGGACAUGAACAUUGGCCAACCUACACACAUUUUUAUUUCAACUGAAUAUACCAACAAGGGCAAAAUUUCUGUAAUAGGGUGAAACUUUGGUACAAUUUUUGGUUUAUCACCCAUUUCUAAUUGCAAGUUUUAUUAGCUGGACAUUUCAGAAAGUUUUGACUUUUUUUUUGUUGUCUUUUU